AGAGUUUGAUCCUGGCUCAGGACGAACGUUGGCGGCGUGCUUAACACAUGCAAGUCGAGCGGUUCUCGUAGUUUACUUCGAGGAUAGCGGCGGACGGGUGAGUAACGCGUGGAUAAUCUGCCUGUAAGACAGGGAUAACGCCGGGAAACCGGUGCUAAUACCCGAUAACCUCUUUGAAUCGCAUGAUUUAAAGAGAAAAGGUGGCCUCUGUACAAUAAAACUGAGGUGGUUACAGAUGAAUCCGCGUACCAUUAGCUAGUUGGUAGGGUAAUGGCCUACCAAGGCGACGAUGGUUAGCGGGUCUGAGAGGAUGAUCCGCCACACUGGAACUGAGACACGGUCCAGACUCCUACGGGAGGCAGCAGUGGGGAAUCUUCCGCAAUGGGCGAAAGCCUGACGGAGCAACGCCGCGUGAGCGAAGAAGGUCUUCGGAUUGUAAAGCUCUGUCCUUGGGGACGAAAGAAAUGACGGUACUUGGGGAGGAAGCCCCGGCUAACUACGUGCCAGCAGCCGCGGUAAUACGUAGGGGGCAAGCGUUGUCCGGAAUUACUGGGCGUAAAGGGCGCGUAGGCGGCUUUACAAGCCAGAGGUGAAAGGCAAUAGCUUAACUAUUGUAAGCCUUUGGAACUGGAGAUCUUGAGUGCAGGAGAGGAAAGUGGAAUUCCUAGUGUAGCGGUGAAAUGCGUAGAUAUUAGGAGGAACACCAGUGGCGAAGGCGACUUUCUGGACUGUAACUGACGCUGAGGCUCGAAAGCGUGGGGAGCAAACAGGAUUAGAUACCCUGGUAGUCCACGCUGUAAACGAUGAAUACUAGGUGUCGGCUCUUAACCCUCCGUGCCGCAGUUAACGCAUUAAGUGCUCCGCCUGGGGAGUACGCACGCAAGUGUGAAACUCAAAGGAAUUGACGGGGACCCGCACAAGCAGCGGAGCAUGUGGUUUAAUUCGAAGCAACGCGAAGAACCUUACCAGGGCUUGACAUCCCUCUGACCGGUCCGUAACGGGACCUUUCCUUCGGGACAAUGGAGACAGGUGGUGCAUGGUUGUCGUCAGCUCGUGUCGUGAGAUGUUGGGUUAAGUCCCGCAACGAGCGCAACCCUUGCCUUUAGUUGCCAUCAGGUUAUGCUGGGCACUCUAGAGGGACUGCCGGUGACAAACCGGAGGAAGGUGGGGAUGACGUCAAAUCAUCAUGCCCCUUAUGAUCUGGGCUACACACGUACUACAAUGGCUGGUACAGACGGAAGCGAAACCGCGAGCUGGAGCAAAUCUUUUAAAGCCGGUCCCAGUUCGGAUUGCAGGCUGAAACUCGCCUGCAUGAAGUUGGAGUUGCUAGUAAUCGCGGAUCAGCAUGCCGUGGUGAAUGCGUUCCCGGGUCUUGUACACACCGCCCGUCACACCAUGGAAGUUGGGGGGACCCGAAGCCAGUGAUCCAACCGUAAGGAGGAAGCUGUCGAAGGUAAAACCAAUGACUGGGGUGAAGUCGUAACAAGGUAACC
rnacentral:rRNA from 1 species